GCCACAUCGGGCGUAUAAAACUUGGCCUGCUCUUCGGGUCCAUCCUUGGCGCCCAGGGGCUGUAGACCAAGCGGCCCGGAACCGGCCAGGGUAUUAUGAUAACUCCCGCAAUAUUCGAUGGAGAAGGAGGAGGCUGCUAGGCAGAAGAACCAAGGAACGUGGAACGAAGGUGAAACCACUGAGUCACCUUGGCGACUACGUCCUGCCAACCAGAACUCCAAGCUGUUCAACUCCUCUGCAGCGGGCAGAGCAGAACGAGCUUCCCGGACUUGGUGUGGAAGGACAGAAGAGCCAGAGUCACUCGGCGGGGAACAGCACGGCUCGCCCAGGCAGCAGGCUAGCGGCGUUGCUCCGCUCAGCGCCUCCAAGGCCGCUGGCGGGUUCGGAGUUCUGGCGAACAGGGGCCUGAGCAGGAGGGGCGGCGCUCCCUCGUCGGGGGCAAUGUGGCAGCCCCCUCCGCAGGCCCUCCGGUUUAGCUUGGCCAGAGGGCUAUGGGUCCUCCUCCCCUGCCUCGGUCCCAAGAAACCCAGCGGCCGCGUGACUGGCGGCCACCCCAACCUGCAGCCCGCCUCGCGGUCCCCGAGCCAAGCUGGAAUUGGUUAGACCGCCAGCUCCGGCACGGAGACCACACAGGCGCCGCCGGAGGGCAAGGCUGACCACCGCGCUGAGACUUUAUUGAGCUACAGACUCCCCAGGCCCAAAAGCUCCAGCUCCAGGGAUCCCUGGAGUCUCAUCUCCUCCCGUCUCAGCAUGCAGCGAUGCUCCGG